rnacentral:rRNA from 1 species
GCAAGUCGAACGAACUCUUCGGAGUGAGUGGCGCACGGGUGCGUAACACGUGGGAAUAUACCCUAGAGUAAGGAAUAACUGCUGGAAACGGUAGCUAAUACCUUAUAAUGACUUCGGUCCAAAGAUUUUUCGCUCUAGGAUUAGCCCGCGCCUGAUUAGAUAGUUGGUGAGGUAAUGGCUCACCAAGUCUACGAUCAGUAGGGGGUCUGAGAGGAUGAUC